CUAGUAUCUCUUGUCUUGUUUUAUUUUGUCUUGUAUUCCCAGUUCAUGUACAGUCCUGUCCUGCCCUGUUCAUGUUUCCCUCAUGCAUUGUGUACAUGUUCUGGGUUCUGCUUUCUGUCCUGCUCCAGUUCUGGUUUCUCCUAGUUUUGUUUUGUUUUCUUGUUUUGUGUUUAUUCUAGUCUUGCCUUGUUUCUGUACUGAAUACAUGUCUGCUUCCAGCCUCCUAAUCCAGUUCCUGGAGGUCUGCAUAUUGUCAUCUGGCACCUGGGAUCCGCAGAAGCUGCAUCAGGGUUCUGGUAUGUAGCCGCACAAACGCUGGUGCUCAACACCAGGGGGCGUGUGGUUGCCCUGAUAAUCCAUUUCCACACAGUGACUCCUACUAUCAAAAUCAGGCAUACUGGGUCCUGGUGACCGGACCGCCACCCCUGACACAAGUCUUGUGGGGUGUUCUCAGUAUGCAGUGGUUAGUACCUACUGAAAGUGCUGCUAGAAAGUACAAACGAUGAACCAUGGUUCAGGGUAAUGGUCACCCAAGGCUCAUUGAUGCACGUGGGGAGGGAAGGCUUGCUACUGUAGCUCAAAUUGCUGAACAUCUUUAUGUUGGCCAAGAAAAGUGUCAGAUCACCCAGUGCGUUGCAAUCUGAUGCAUAUGGGGCUGCAUAGCCACAGACGUGUCCAUCUUUGAAAGCUCCAAGUACAAUUUUUAUACAGCAUUCUUGGCAAACCAACCUACUAAGCAUGGGUGUCCGCAGGUGGGGCAAGGGGGGG